ensembl:lncRNA
AAAACCUUUAAUUUAGCCAUGAAACUUCUGCUGAAUUCUUGUGUGCUGCACUGAGUUAGAAGUCUUACCUCAAAACUGACUCCAACUUUGCAAAGAAGUCUGCAGGAAUUUCUACCUAGCCGACCGCCGUCAUUUAUUUGAGCAGCUCAGUACAUAAUUAAGAAGCCCUGGAGCCUGGGACAGCCUUUUAUCUUGAAAAGUGGCUCUUCCAGACCCUACCAAUCCCUGCACCCAGCACUGGGUUUGGCCAGUGAGUAAUGGAAAAGCAAGGGAACGCCGAGGAAUCAAAGACAGUGUGCUGAAGAGAUGAGAAAGGACAAUACGAGUCAUGUUCUCACUGACCUCAACUCAGACAGGAGCUGCCGGCAGUAACAGACAUAUGGAGUAAUAAUUAAUGGCAGUUCUUGCAGUGCCCAACAGAAGCUGCACAACACUGGUUUUCCAUCUUUUGUUUCAAGUUUGUAUAAUCUCCACUGAAGGAAGCACAGGAGGAAAUAAGUGUGGGGGCAUGGCAAGAGUAGGGCAAAGCGAGCCAGCCCCAGGCAAUGGAACAGAAGAAUCUACAGCCCAUGAAGAUAAACACCACACAUGCUCUGUCCUGCUCCUAAGUGUUCUUCAUAAGCAUGUCUGUAAUCACAAUGAUGACUACCACUACUUCUCAAACUGCAGCCCAUUGUCAAUUAUUUUUCAUGAGCAACAACAUUAUCAUGACUAUUACAGGAUGAACAUGUAUGAUUGAUUCUUCACUUUCUUAAUUAAAUACUUAAUGAUACUAAUGAAUUAAAGUGGGCCACUCAUUCACAAGCACUUAUGGAAUCACAGAAUCAUAGAAUCGCUUGAGUUGGAAGGGACCCUGACAGGCCAUCUGGUCAAACUCCCCUGCAAUGCACAGAGACACCCACAUCUCCAUCAGUUGCCCAGCCUGACACUGAGUGCCUCCAGUUAUGGAACAUUCACCACCUCUCUGGGCAAUCUGUGUCAGUGCUUCACCACCCUUGCUGGCUCACAUCCAGCUUGCCAUCCACCAGUACCCCUAUCCACCAGGGAUCUGCAGCGUCCCUGUCCGUGUGAUGCAGGAGAUACAGAUCUCCAGCAUCCUGGAGCUGGUGCUGGGAGGUCAGGAGAGACACACAAAGGCAUCAGAGCAGUAAGACCUGUGUGUGUUUGUGUGCAUGGGCAGCUGCGUCCCAUGCAUGAUGCCCAAAUCUGGAGCUGAAACUUGACUUCUUGAAGAUGCCAAAGAGAAUAGAAGAGAAUGAGAAUGAGUCCAGCCAUAUUAUCAUCAUCCUCUUCUGCCUUCUCUUUGCACAUUGCACAGGAAUGUGGGUGACAUGGCUUAAUGGGCAUGGUGGUGAUGGGUCGGUGGCUGGACUUGAUGAUUUUAGUGGUCUUUUUGAACCUUAGUGAUUCUAUGAUUCUACAAAUUUGGUUCAUUUAGGCUAAAUAGCAAUCAUCCAGCACCUGCUGAAAAGUGAUUCCGCAACUCACCUUUGCGCCUCUUCAACGCCAGAUUUCCAUGCUGCCAGCACCGAUAUGGGGAUCAUGACAUACAUACCUGAGUGCUUGGGCUGCCCCCUGAGCUGUACUUGCAUUGAUUUCUGUGUAGUGUUGUACAAAAUGCCAUGCUGAGCCAUGGUGGCUGAAAGCAGCGGGCUUUUUUUUAGUGAUAUGAAAGGGAGUGACCUGCUUACCCUCAGUGCUGAUGGGUUUAACUCUGCAGCCUGUAUGAUAAGUGAAUGCAAAAGAUUAACACUUGGAAAUAAUGCUCAUGGGAGAGAAUUUCCUGAAGGGCUACUAGCUGCAGAAACAGCACUUCUGGCAGUUUGUGAGAACGGGGCUGGCACUCAAGGCAAUGCCACUGUUUGCCCUCUUAUACUCUUCUCCAAACGCUUGAUCCCUCGGUGUCAAUCCCUCAGCUCCAGUUCCUUUGCUGUAAGAAGGACCCAGGAUUGGCCAUGUCUGUGGAUCUUCUUUACUUCCCACCGUCUUGAAUCGGUGUCAUUUUGUGCAGUGUCUCAGCUUGCACCAACCCACCCAAUUCCUUUGAAGUCAAUGUGACUUCAGGGUGCAAGGAGCCACCCCAGGGCAUGGCUGAUCUCCUUUUUCAUGUACCAUGCAGUGCACAGACCGCAGUGUGCUGCAGACUGGGAAGUGUACCGAGACAAAAAAGCGCCAUUGUAUACGAGUUGGUGUCAAUUAACUCUAGGAACGUUUUGAAUAAAUUAAAUUAUGCUGCAAUCUGAAGCUAAACUGAUCCUUAAUUAAAAGAUAAGAUAUAUUUUUAAUCCUCGGGUGAUUUAAAGAAAAGAAUAAUGAAGUAUGGGAAUCAGAGUCACCUUCCUCAACGGUUGAGCAGUUUCCCUGAGCAAUGCAGUGUGACUUCAAAGCUGUCCCCUGCUAUAGCCCUGCCCUGAGCAGAGGAUUGGACAAGGUGACCUCCAGGGACAUCUUCCAACCCAAAUCGUUGCACGAUUCUCAGCUAUUCUGCUCUCAGCUUUUGGAUGCUGAAGGAUCAAGAUUUGGUUUGGAGACUAUUUGGAGAGCAAGUGUAACAAUGAAG